rnacentral:tRNA from 1 species
UCCUGUGUGGUUUAAUUGGUAAAACGUUUGAAUUUUAAUCAGAAGUUUCGGGUUCGAAUCCCGGCACAGGAG